UCUCUACUGUGGUUCUUCGUCUCGCUUAGAUUGAUAGUGAGGGAGGAUGUUGAUCGGCAUAGACAGGUCUCAAUUUUCGUUUGUUUCCAGCUUGGAGGCAUAACAGAUUGUAUCUGAAUUGCAAAGCUCUGAUUUUUGGUGUGGAUGGAGGAUUUUAAUUAGCCGAGCUCUUUCUUUCUGUUCUUAUCAAUUGAUGCCCGAGUAUAUAAAGCAAAACGUGUAAUCUGCUGUGUUCGGGAAGCCUCCAUCAACAUCCGGAAUCACUGUUAGUAACCUCAGAGUCGGCAAUCAUGCAGAAUCACCAACAGUGAGGACUCGUCUCUGUAAAAGUUCAAGGCGUGAGAUACAAAAGAGCAAAGGACAAAUCAAUUUACGUUUGUUUUGGAGAAGGGCACGAUCUGCUGCACGAAUGAGAUUCAGAGAAAAUUCUUGACUGCCUAUUCUAAUCCCCUUAACAGAGGUUUUUUGCAAAAGGAGUAUGUGGAUUGUUCUUUUGCCGCUGUUCCUGGUUUUGUUAAUUGCUGUUAGUUGGUUGUCCUGCCGUGGUUCAGGUAUCUAACUUUUGCCUUUAGAUUAUUGAAUGUUCAGGUAUUUU